rnacentral:lncRNA from 1 species
UCGGGAACGAUAAUGAAAGGCAGUGUGUUUUGUGACUUGCAGUGUGUACUGUGUCUGGUGUGUGCAAUAUUUAUUUUGCACAAUGGUUUGCAUUGAUAAUGGCAUUCAAUUGCAAUAUAAAUUGCAUUGUCUGAAUUAGCUAUGACCAUAUUGAACAUUACUGUGGUAUUUUGUGCAGGCUUUGGAAAGACAAAUAGCUGCUAAAGAUUCUCUUUGCCAAGCAAAAAACAACCCUCUUUCAAAGCUGCCAGAUAUUCUCAUGCUUUUGGGAAAAGUGAAGCUUCAGAGAGAGCAGUUCUCAAGUGACCCUGAUGUCAAGGACAUUGUUGAGAUGGCUUUGAAUAUCUACGAGACCUGCCGGCAGAUAGCCAAGCCAAUUCAAAGCCUGGAUUCUGCAGUCACUCGCUAUCAAGCAGCUCAAGAGGCCAUCGAAAAGUGCUGUGGCUUGCACCAACUGCCCGCAUUGAGAGCUGAGCGCGAUGCGGCCUCUGAGGAACUUCGGCAGCAGCUGCAAGCCCACAAAGAGAUCGCAAAAGAUGCUGACCAA